ACUUUAAGUGAAAACUAAAGAUCGCGUAAAAUCUCCGUUCUAACUUGUUUUCUUCCGAAACUUGACGAGUGCUUUUGUAAUUAAAUUACACACGAAAACAUCGUCAACAAAGUAUUUAGCUACUCUGCCAAAUCUCAGUCCUUACAUCUAUACUCCCACUAUUCUCUUGUACAUUUUUGACUCGUCCAUACUUUCGAUGCACCAAACAGUUU
rnacentral:lncRNA from 1 species